AUUGAACGCUGGCGGCAGGCUUAACACAUGCAAGUCGAGCGGAGAUGAGGUGCUUGCACCUUAUCUUAGCGGCGGACGGGUGAGCAAUGCUUAGGAAUCUGCCUAUUAGUGGGGGACAACAUUCCGAAAGGAAUGCUAAUACCGCAUACGCCCUACGGGGGAAAGCAGGGGAUCUUCGGACCUUGCGCUAAUAGAUGAGCCUAAGUCGGAUUAGCUAGUUGGUGGGGUAAAGGCCUACCAAGGCGACGAUCUGUAGCGGGUCUGAGAGGAUGAUCAGCCACACUGUGACUGAGACACGGCCCAGACUCCUACGGGAGGCAGCAGUGGGGAAUAGUGGACAAUGGGCGUAAGCCUGAUCCAGCCAUGCCGCGUGUGUGAAGAAGGCCUUUUGGUUGUAAAGCACUUUAAGCGAGGAGGAGGCUACCUGGAUUAAUACUCUAGGAUAGUGGACGUUACUCGCAGAAUAAGCACCGGCUAACUCUGUGCCAGCCGCCGCAGUAAAAC
rnacentral:rRNA from 1 species